GUUGAACGCUGGCGGCAUGCCUUACACAUGCAAGUCGAACGGCAGCACGGGAGCAAUCCUGGUGGCGAGUGGCGAACGGGUGAGUAAAGUAUCGGAACGUGCCCAGUCGUGGGGGAUAACGUAGCGAAAGUUACGCUAAUACCGCAUACGAUCUAUGGAUGAAAGCGGGGGAUCGCAAGACCUCGCGCGAUUGGAGCGGCCGAUAUCGGAUUAGGUAGUUGGUGGGGUAAAGGCUCACCAAGCCGACGAUCUGUAGCUGGUCUGAGAGGACGGCCAGCCUCACUGGGACUGAGACACGGACCAAACUCCUACGGGAGGCAGCAGUUGGGAAUUUGGGACAGUGGGCGAAAGCCUGAUCCAGCCAUGCCGCGUGCAGGAUGAAGGCCUUCGGGUUGUAAACUGCUUUUGUACGGAACGAAAAGGUUUGGCCUAAUAAGCUGAGCUCAUGACGGUACCGUAAGAAUAAGCACCGGCUAACUACGUGCCAGCAGCCGCCGUAA
rnacentral:rRNA from 1 species